rnacentral:rRNA from 1 species
UACGGCGAGUGAAGCGGCAAGAGCUCAAAUUUGAAAGCUGGCUCCUUCGGGGUCCGCAUUGUAAUUUGCAGAGGAUGCUUCGGGAGCGGUCCCCAUCUAAGUGCCCUGGAACGGGACGUCAUAGAGGGUGAGAAUCCCGUAUGGGAUGGGGUGUCCGCGCCCGUGUGAAGCUCCUUCGACGAGUCGAGUUGUUUGGGAAUGCAGCUCUAAAUGGGUGGUAAAUUUCAUCUAAAGCUAAAUAUUGGCCGGAGACCGAUAGCGCACAAGUAGAGUGAUCGAAAGAUGAAAAGCACUUUGAAAAGAGAGUUAAAAAGCACGUGAAAUUGUUGAAAGGGAAGCGCUUGCGACCAGACUCGCUCGCGGGGUUCAGCCGGCAUUCGUGCCGGUGUAUUUCCCCGCGGGCGGGCCAGCGUCGGUUUGGGCGGUCGGUCAAAGGCCCUCGGAAGGUAACGCCCCUAGGGGCGUCUUAUAGCCGAGGGUGCAAUGCGACCUGCCUAGACCGAGGAACGCGCUUCGGCUCGGACGCUGGCAUAAUGGUCGUAAGCGACCCGUCUUGA